rfam:Hordeum vulgare subsp. vulgare, WGS project CAJW01000000 data, contig: morex_contig_1521603
CAUUCGUUCCCAUGGUUCGAUCCUUCCCAGUAAAACGCGGCGUGUUCGAAUGAUGAUCGCUUUUACGCGAGAAAGGGGGACCACCCUCUAAGCCUAAGUAUUCCUCAAUGACCGAUAGCGUACAAGUACCGUGAGGGAAAGGUGAAAAGAACCCCACGCGGGGAGUGCAAUAGAGACCCUGAGAUCCGAUGCGAACAAUCAGUCGAAGGAGCGGAGCGCGGGCGCACUCACUCUAACGGCGUACCUUUCGCAUGAUGGGUCAGCGAGGAAAUGG